rnacentral:rRNA from 1 species
UACGGAGGGUGCAAGCGUUAAUCGGAAUUACUGGGCGUAAAGCGCACGCAGGCGGUCUGUCAAGUCGAAUGUGAAAUCCCCGGGCUCAACCUGGGAACUGCAUCCGAAACUGGCAGGCUUGAGUCUCGUAGAGGGAGGUAGAAUUCCAGGUGUAGCGGUGAAAUGUGUAGAGAUUUGGAGGAAUACCGGUGGCGAAGGCGGCCCCCUGGGCGAAGACUGACGCUCAGGUGCGAAAGCGUGGGGAGCAAACAGG